rnacentral:lncRNA from 1 species
CCGGGCGCGCAGCCUCGGCAGGCACCCCUCCGAGGGCGGCCGAGGAAGCUCCCGGGGGAGGAGGAGGAGGAGAAGGAGGAGGUGGGGGGCUGCGGCGGCCGCGGGACCCGCUCGGCGCCUCGGCCUCUCCGCCCCCUCCCCAGCUUUUCUUUCGCCCUCUUCUCUCCCACUCCCGGCCGGCGCCGCGGCUUUGUGCGAGGAGAUGGUGUAGCCCCGCGGGCGCCCGGAGGAGGAGGAGGUGGACACUUGUCUCCCGGCCCCGAGCUGCGUCUCCGCCCCUGGAGGAGAGACCCCCUUCGGCUCGGCGCCUCCCGCGACUCCCGGCUGCUGGGGAAGCCUCGGCGCGGCCGGCACCAUGAGGUACAGGUCUCUGGCCCAGAGCUGUGUAGAUAAAGAAGCGGCCCAUCCUUUGAGGUGAGAGUCCCGAGGAAUCUUUCAGCUCGGCCGACUGGAAGGCCCUUGAGCUCGCCUCCUCUCAGAAACCGCCAGAAUCACAGCUAAUUCCUGGAAUAAACGUUGAUCAGAAAGACUGAAACCUGCCAAAAAAGAGCUUCUACAUCUAAAGACAUAAGAAGCCACGACGAGACAGCAGGAGGGGCGCACCCGUGAAUCCCCUGGCCCGCGGGUGGGUGGUCUUAGGGACUGAGAAGAAUUACAGUGCAGAGGCUCUCCCACAGGAGUGAGAGUUCUGAACCCACAUCGCGCUCCCCUGCCUGGGAGUCUGGCUUUGGGAAGAUGAACUCCCAGAACAUUUGACUUUGAAGACCAGCAGGACCUAAUUGCAGGAGCUCCACAGCACUGGGGGAAACUCUUCAAAGGAGUACACACAAUCUCAUGUGCACUGGGACCAACAGCAAAAGCAGUGACUUCAUAAGUGCCUGAGCCAGACCUACCUGUUGGUUUGGGGAGGGCGGGGGCGCUGUGGCUCCCUCGGGGGUCAUAAAAGCUGGUGUAUCAGCAAGUGUUCAUUGGCGUGGGCCUCUUGCUUGGAUCAUUAGCCCCAAGACCUGGCCCCACCAGUAGCCUGUAAGCUACAGUGUGCCAACAUCUCAGGCCAGACAGCUAAUACCGCCCCACCUCUCAGCAAACUGGCUGCCUGAAGACUUCCUGAACCCACCACCUCCUCCAGAGGGCCAGGACCCAGCUCCACCCACCAGUGGCCAACCACCAGCCCCUCCCAUCAGGAAGCCUGCGGAAGCCUCUAGACCAGCCCCACCCACUAUGAGGCAGAAACCAGAAGGAAGAAGGCUACAAUGCAGCAGCUUGUAGACAGACCAAAACCACAAACGCAGACCCUGGAACCAGCUGGUCCUUGGGUGAUGAGAGAGAAGUGCACUGCUGGGAGCAUAGGACAGAGACCCACUUCUCCAAAGUCAAGAAACAGCUAACUCACCACAUAUAUAAAAGUACAUACAGAAAUUUGACAGAAUGAGGGGGCAGAGGAGGACUUGGUGAUGAGGAGAUAGGCCAUCUGUCUGAUAAAGAGUUCAGAGUACUGUUCCUAAAGCUGCUCCAAGAUCUCAGGGAAAGACUGGAUGCAAAGAGUGAGAAGUUACAAGAAGUUUUAAGCAAAGAGUUGGAAAAAUACACUGGACAGCCAGACAGAGUUGCAGAAUGGAUUAAUGGAAAUAAAAAACACUCUGGCAGGAAUCAGUAAUGGAGUAACUAAGUCAGAAGAACAUAUCAGUGAGGUGGAUGACAGAGUAGAGGAAAUCACUGCCGUGGC